GUCAGACGAGAGGAGCUGAUCUCAAUUGGAGGAGUGCUGGCGGGGCUCUGGACAAAUACCACAAAUAGGUUGCUCUUGACAGCAAAGAGUUACUCAACUAGGAUACAAUAUUGUUUUCCACAAUGCCUCCAAAAAGAGCAUGCCAGCAGAUAAAAGAGACAACGACCUAACUGGAAUGGAAAUUAUUUUUUUUCUUGCACUGAUGAAAAUCGAAAGAUGGCUGCUUAUUCAGGCUAAAUAUCAAAGACAAUAGUUUCCCAGAGUUGCACAGGGUCACCAGAUGCCUCGUCUUUCUUUUAAUAUUGCCACCUCAGGGCACAGAAACAGAGAUCUUAUCUACCCUGAAAGCUUAACACUAGGAUAAUGACCCUCAGUCCUGAUAUUUUUCCAGUGCUACCAGGUAAUCAGAAUGGUUCAUUCCCUAUCCCUCAUAUAUGCCCAGUGUUUUCUAUUUUCAGAACGUUUUAUUUAACCACCUCUUCUAAUCUGUAAUACUCUCCAGACUUUCCCUGACUAUCCAAAUCUGGACCAUCCUCCAAAGAUCCGUUCAAAUUAGUUUUUCAAUAAAAUUUCCCUUGAUGGUCACAGUCUAAGCUGAACCUUGCUCCUCUGAACUGUGUAAAUAAAUAGUGUUUAAUUAAUUUAGUUAUUCCAAAUCUGUUUAAGAUUUGUUUUUAGGAUUUGUUGUUAUUUUAUUUCAUACACAAUCACAUGACCUUAUAUUCCUAUAUCUUGUCAUCCCUAUUAGAGUUUUAGCCCAUGGAGGGUGAGGACCAAUGUUGUACACUUUGUGUUGCUCUUAAGCACCAAACAAGUGCUUGCACACACAGAAAAGUGAAUUAAUGCUGUUUUUCUCUCUCAAUAACACAGUAAAUCUAAUU